rnacentral:misc_RNA from 1 species
GACCCCUCAAGCUCUGCUUGGUGAUGGGCGCCUUGUCGACCCCGCGGUUUCCGCAGGCGACUCGCCUCAAAUCUAUUGGCGGCUAGCAUUGCAGUUUCGAGCGCAGCAGAAACGCGAACUCGGGCCUGCGUGUGAGCUCCCAGCAAGCCACCCCCACA